CACAAGUCACGUGAUCUCUCCUGGCCGAAAGAGCAAUUGUGGGCAGAGGUGGAGGCUAAUGGAAGCACCCCUGGGAGGCAAUCAACUUCAGGACAGAGACUGAGUGUGGAGGGAACGCCAUGACCAGAUUUGCAUCCGGGGACAACAGCCAUGACCAGAUUUGCAUCCGGGGACAACAGCCGGGCAAGCAUGUAGAGAAAGGACAAGAGGAGCACAGCCUGGAGCUUGGGUGCCUGGUGGCUUCUGCCCAACUCGCCUCAAGGUGCUAUAAAUAAAGAAUGACCUCAGCUGCUUGGUUGACUCAGAGAGUCUACAGUGAGGAAGACUCUUACGGGAGGCAAGUGACCAGCUCAGCGACUGAAUCACAAAAUCCAAGAAGUGAGCGCUAAUGGUGAAGAAGAGGUGAAGGUCCAGUAUCAUGAAGCAUGAAGGCAGUUAGGCUGGGCAUCAGGCUCCCAGAGCCUGGUCUAUGCUACACGCAGGCAACCUCAUGCAUUGCUUCUUCUGUAUCUUUGAGUCAUGA